AAAAUAAUGAAACUGUAUGGUGCAGAAAGUGAUUUUUUUCAUUGCAGUUUCUGCUGCUGGGAAUGCGGUAGAUCACUAUGGCUUCUGUACCGUGUGGCUGCAUUCCGUAUCGGUGACGUUUGAUAGUUCAUCAAAUAGUAGCGCUGUUCUUUGGUCAAUUUGGUCACCUGUCAGCUGCGCUACUGUUUUAGCAGCGCGUUUAGUAGCGACCGGUAAAGUGUCAAGUAAUGAUACUGCGCUGACAAACGGUUUAUACUCACCACCGAACUGAAGCUUAUGAUAAAUAAAAUACUGCUGCUUGCUGGUCACUGAUUGAAGAUCGUUCAGUGGCUACCAUUGGCCAAUCUCACCAACGGGAUAUAAUAAGAACUGAUGCAGGUUUAUAUCUAUAUGUAUUGUCUAUUCGGAACAAAGUUAGUACGCUUUUUAAACCGAUGUUGGAUUUUUCUCCAGAUACAGGCAACCCACUUAACGUUGGAAGUAGUGCGCUCUUAAAUUAUUUCACAGAUUUCGGUGAAUUUUGCUUCAAUUCACCGAAAUCUCAACAGCAGAUUUGUUCGGUAAUUAUUUCACCGAUUUUCUGCGGUAUUUUCCUUUGUUCAACUGUCAAAACUACCAAAAAAUCUGUAAAAUUUUUACCGAACAGUUCUGCUGUUGAGAUUUCGGUGAAAUUUCACAGAAAUCUGCGAUUUAUUUUAAGUUUGAUGGAUUCGUCUAAAGAUAUGCUAAACAAUCGGAGGAAAAUAAAAUAAUUUGUAAAACAAUUAAUUGUAUUGUAUUUUUAUUGUAAUAUUGGAGUAUAAUGUAUUCUAAAUCCUGUUGUAUUUCUAUUGUAAAACAAUAGAAACAGUAAUUGAAAACAUUUAAAACACAAUGUUUUCUAUUGUUUUGUCGCUCGAAAUCAUCCCAUUGAAGAACCGUAAAAUCAAUUGUUUUGCUCCGAAUUUUGUAUGGAAAAUUUUCGAUUUUUUUAUUGUAAAGAUACAUAACAACCCCCCUUUUUAAUUGUAAAAGUCCCAUUUACCAUUCAUUUUAUCGUGGAAAACCAUUAUUUCUCAUGUGAUUUUAUUGUCAAA